UAAUCUUAAAAUAACUUGUGUGUACGGUUAUACCUCAAGCAGGUAUCGAUUGCAAGCUUCCUCUGGCUUAGAGAAUUGUCAAAGGAUAAUCAAAAAUAUUUAAAUAGCUAUUUCUGAUGUGAAUAACUUUGAUUAACAUACCCUGCUGACAAAUGUAUAUUUUGGAAUUGCACUGAAAAAGCAUUGGUAGGCUAAAAAUAAAUGAUUUGUUGUUUUGUAUGCUUGUUAAAUUAAUAAACAUUUCUUUUUCAGUA